rnacentral:rRNA from 1 species
GACGAACGCUGGCGGCGUGCUUAACACAUGCAAGUCGAACGGAAAGGCCCUGCUUUUGUGGGGUUCUCGAGUGGCGAACGGGUGAGUAACACGUGAGUAACCUGCCCUUGACUUUGGUAUAACUUCAGGAAACUGGGGCUAAUACCGUAUAGGAGCUCCUGCUGCAUUGUGGGGGUUGGAAAGUUUCGGCGGUUGGGGAUGGACUCGCGGCUUAUCAGCUUGUUGGUGGGGUAGUGGCUUACCAAGGCUUUGACGGGUAGCCGGCCUGAGAGGGUGACCGGCCACAUGGGGACUGAGAGACGGCCCAGACUCCUACGGGAGGCAGCAGUGGGGAAUAUGGCACAAUGGGCGGAAGCCUGAUGCAGCAACGCCGCGUGCGGGAUGACGGCCUGCGGGGUGUAAACCGCUUUCGCCUGUGACGAAGCGUGAGUGACGGUAAUGGGUAAAGAAGCACCGGCUAACUACGUG